CUGCUUCGGGUUUGAGUCGCCAUCGUCGCCAUUUACCUCGCGAAAAGUCAUCGAUAAAUACGCCGACUUCCGCUUGUGAUUGCGAGUUCUGACGCGACCAUGUCGCGUGAAACACGGUGUUACGUUCCUGGGUGUACGAACACUUCGGGCUCUAACCCAGAAGUGACAUUCCACAAGCCGAGGGACAGUGACACGAAGCGAAAAUGGGAGGCAGUAGUCGCCAGCAGACAUCCUGACGUACGAGGAGAAAUACAUGUGUCCCGCGUUUGUUCUUCACACUUUGCGGAGGAUGCGUACAUGGAAACGGAUGUUCUACAAAUCCGACUUGGAGUUCCGAAACGAAAGCGGCUGAAGGCUGACGCCGUGCCCACAAUAUUUCCGGAACCAACUCGGCCGCGGUCUGCUGAGGUCCAGUCCACCAGCUUCACUGAAGCCAGUGCAAGUGACGUGGAAAGGAUGGAAUCAGCAAGCGAUGCGGGUGAAUGUUUCAGCCUACAACAAUCCAUGUCAUCAGCGGGUCCGGAAAAUGGUACAUGCCCAAUUCAUUUAUGCUCACUCUUGAUAAAAUCCAUGGUGGUUAAAAUGAAUGCAUAGGCAAUUACUCUUGAGAUUCAUAGCUCCUCCUUGUAAACACAGGAGAGCAGUAAUCACAUCAUAUCCCAUAUUGUUUUUUCAUAGCUGUAUUGCAUAAUUGCCUUUCUGCAUUUUUUGUAUGUGUCAUGUUGGUAUUGCUCUAU